AUGCAACGCGAAAAACCUUACCUACCCUUGACAUGCCACUAACGAAGUAGAGAUACAUUAGGUGCUCGUAAGAGAAAGUGGACACAGGUGCUGCAUGGCUGUCGUCAGCUCGUGUCGUGAGAUGUUGGGUUAAGUCCCGCAACGAGCGCAACCCUUGUCGUUAAUUGCCAUCAUUUAGUUGGGCACUUUAGCGAGACUGCCGGUGACAAACCGGAGGAAGGUGGGGAUGACGUCAAGUCCUCAUGGCCCUUAUGGGUAGGGCUUCACACGUCAUACAAUGGUCGGUACAGAGGGUUGCCAAGCCGCGAGGUGGAGCCAAUCCCAGAAAACCGAUCGUAGUCCGGAUUGCACUCUGCAACUCGAGUGCAUGAAGUCGGAAUCGCUAGUAAUCGCGGAUCAGAAUGUCGCGGUGAAUACGUUCCCGGGUCUUGUACACACCGCCCGUCAAACCAUGGGAGUGGGUCUCACCAGAAGUAGUUAGCCUAACCGCAAGGAGGGCGAUUACCACGGUGGGAUUCAUGACUGGGGUUAAGUCGUAACAAGGUAGCCGUAUCGGAAGG
rnacentral:rRNA from 1 species